GAAGGCUUGUUUUUUGUUUUUCGUUUUUCAGUAAGAAAGUAAUUUAAUUAUGAUACUAGUUUGGGCCACAUAGAAGGCGCUUCUUCCUGUAACAUUAUGAAGCUAAACAACUUGUAAUCCAACUCAAAUUAAUAAUAGUGCAAUAUGGAUCUUACUAUUUAAAAUUUGAUGUGACAUUAUAUGAAUUCCAAAAGUAAUAUACACAUAAUUAAGCUCUAGCCAAGCUAGAGAGCAAUUAUUUAUAUUUGUAUUUAAUCAUGCAAAAUAAAUAAACUCGAGAACUUUUCUUGGGGACUAGGCCUUCUAGCAAUUUUCAACAUAUUUCUUCAAAAACAAAUUAUCUUUUACAAAAAAUAAAUAAAUAAAUGAUGAUGAUGAUACCUACUGAUAUUCUUCUAUAGAAAAAAAAUAAUAUAAAAAUAUAAAAAUUUCUACCACCUCCUCACCAAUGUUUUGGCUCCAAUGAAUGUGUUAUUUGAUAUUUUCAGACUAUGAAUCUUUUCUUUUCUUUUCUUUUCUUUUCUUUUCUUUUUUCUUUUAUUUUUUUCCUGGUUACUGGAAAUAGCAUUCUUGUUAAUUGAAUAGCUAUAAAACCAAGUAAACACAUAGACCAACUUUAAGUAAACUUUAAUUAACUAAUAUAUUUAUUGCUUUAGUCUCCUGUUUUUCAAGAAGUUUCAUAUCAAACAAUGUGAUAUGAAUAGAUCAAGCUAUGCAUGCCCUUUCUCACUUGAUCUUCCUUCUCAUCACUGUCAAAAUAUACCUUAAUGGCCAAGAAAUUAAGAAUCUUCAAGUCUUUUAAUACGCACCACAUCACAAAUCCCACAUGCAAUUGCUCUAAACUUAGCUUUUGCACUACUCCUUACCACAACACCUUGUUUUUUGCUUCUCCAAGUAACUAAAUUCCCUCCAAUAAAGGUACAAUAACCAAAAGUUGAUCUUCUAUCAAUUAGACUCCAGCCCAAUCUGCAUAGUUGUAGACUUCAACCCGUAAAUGUUCGUGUUUCUUAAAUAAUAUACCUCUUCCAAGAGUCCCUUUCAAGUACUUUAAGAUUUUAUUAAAGCCAUCAAAGUGUUUCAGGCUAGGUGAAUGCAUGAAUUGGCUUACCAUGCUUACUACAUAGUGUGAAGCCUUUUGCCACAAGCCUUGCCUUGUACUUUUCUAAGCUUCUGUUUGUUUUGCAUUUAAUCGUAAACACUCAUUCAAACCUUACUUUCUUCUUUUCCAAUAGCAAGUCAACUAAUUUCCAAGUGUCAUUUUUGUUCAAAGCAUUCAUUUCUUCCAUGACUACUAUCUUCCAAUUCAGAUCGUCUAGAGCUUCUUGAAUAUUUCUUGGAAUAAACAAUUGAGAUAUCUUAAAGGUAAAAGCUCUAUAAUUAUUUGAAAGUUUUUAUUAAGAUAAGUAUUCAAUGACAUUGUUUUCUCCUUGCUGAAUUUCACCAAAUGUCAAAGUGCCACAAACUUGAGAUUGAUUACCCAAAUCACAAUACAUCUUGUUAAGAUUAUCCCAAAGUUCCUUUGUCGUUGAAUAACACAUAUAGUUAUCAUUGAUGUCCCCAUCCAUGGAAUUCAUAAGCCACUUUAGAACCAUGGAGUUUUCAGCAUCCUACGUAGCAUAUGUUAGGCCCUCCCUUGCUUCUGCCUUCUUCUCACUAGUCAAAUAGCCUAAUUUCCCUAACCCCCGAAUAUACAUGCACACGAACUGAGACCAACACAAGAAGUUAUAGCCAAUAAAACAAAUGGUGGUGAUUUGGACUGAGUGUGGCUCAUUAUUGGAGGCUUGGGUCGUAGCAAGUUUUGUUUCAGACAUGGUGAACAAAAGCAAAAGCAGCAAGGAGAUGGAAAAGGUUCUAGGGUUUUUAAAAAGAGUUGAUGAUCAAAUCUCUGCUUUGAUACUAUGAAGACAGAGUAUUCUUUGGAGAUCAGUUUAUCAACUAAAUUCAAAAUAGUUUAUCCAAGGUUCCUAUUUGAAGGAGAACACGAGGCAUGAAAUCAAGAACAAAUCGAAUCUAUUUUGAUUAAUAUUCUAAGUAGGAGUGACCACUAAUUUAUAGGAUUUGAUUAAUACCAAAUCUAUUUUCUAAUUUAUAGACAACCUGAUAUGGAAUCUUUUAUUUUAUAACAAAUCUAGAGAUAAAAGUAUCAUAAAAGUUGGAGAUCUAAUAGAAAUGAGAUAAAAGGCAAUGAGAAUGUCACCCUUCCAUGGAUCUUCUCACAAGAAAAUAUGAUUCCAUCUCUGACCUUAUCUUUAACGCAGGAUAACUGCAUCAAUUUUAGCAAAAGGAGAAACUGAUUUCUAACAUCCUAGAUGACUUACAUUAGCUCCAAACUUGGCAUUCAACUCACACCCAUUCUACUGAAGGUCACACUCACAAC